CGCAGUCAUUAAAACUGGUGUUCCUUCUCCGAGUUACAAUUUCAAGCACUAGCACACCAAAGCUGAAAAUGUCGAUUUUUGGUGAUACACUUCCGUGUAUUGCGUACUCUGGAGCCAUGUAACCACUGCAGGCACCAACCGUAGCUGUUUUGGUCUGCGUAUGGUCUCCCAGCAGCCUUGCUAGUCCGAAGUCUGAAAUCUUUGGAUCCGCGUUCUCAUCAAGCAGGAUGUUGUUGGCUUUCAGGUCUCGAUGAAUGAUCCUAAUUCUUGAAUCCUCAUGAAGGUACAUUAUUCCCUUGGCAAUGCCAACAAUGAUGUUGUACUGCUGAUCCCAACUUAGCUUAUUUCCCGUUUCAGUGUCUUCUGGACGAAAUGAUAAGUUAUGUUAGACGGUUUUGCAAGGCAGAACUAGAUGAGGUAGCAUGCCUACUUUUUAUCUGCUAGCCUUACAUAUGGACCAGAGGUAAUUUGUUUGCAGGAAGUGCAACAGUGAAUAAGUCUAUCACUGAACAUGAUGCCCCUAACGUGAAUGAUUUAUACUA